rnacentral:rRNA from 1 species
CAAUCACUUGUCUUUUAAAUGGAGACCUGUAUGAAUGGCAAGACGAGGGCUUAACUGUCUCCUCCCCCCAGUCAAUGAAAUUGAUCUUCCCGUGCAGAAGCGGGAAUAUAAACAUAAGACGAGAAGACCCUAUGGAGCUUUAGACAUAAGGCAGCCCAUGUUAAACACCCCCUGACAAGGCCUCCAAACAAAAUGGACCCUCCCCGAAUGUCUUUGGUUGGGGCGACCGCGGGGAGAUAAACAACCCCCACGUGGAAUGGGAGGACCCCUCCCAAAGCCGAGAGCGACAACUCUAAGCAACAGAAUUUCUGACCAUUAUGAUCCGGUACUACCGAUCAACGGACCGAGUUACCCUAGGGAUAACAGCGCAAUCCCCUUUCAGAGU